UACGGAGGGGGCUAGCGUUGUUCGGAAUUAUUGGGCGUAAAGGGCGCGUAGGCGGCCGGAUAAGUCUGAUGUGAAAUCCCUCGGCCCAACCGGGGAACUGCAUCUGAAACUGUUCGGCUUGAGUCCGGGAGAGGGUAGUGGAAUUCCCAGUGUAGCGGUGAAAUGCGUAGAUAUCAAGAGGAACACCUGCGGCGAAGGCGGGUUGCUGGGCCGACACUGACGCUGAGGCGCGAAAGCCAGGGGAGCGAACGGG
rnacentral:rRNA from 1 species